UCCCCCUUUGUUAUUUUUAAUCAACUCUUUACUCCUAGCGCAAAACCACAAGCGGACCCUCUCAGUUCAACCUCGCCGUCGUAACUCAGGUGUUGCUCCACCUUAGAUUCACGCUGCUGUCGCAUUCUUCUCGCUGCUAGUUACUGCUUCUCCUUGUUGGUUUCGAUGAUGUUGCUGUAAGUUCUAAAAAAUUAGGUGUUUGAAGAUGCAUAAUUAUGAGGAUUUCAUGAAACUCUACAAAUAGAUUUUGGGAUAUUGGGUCGAGAUUGAUUCUUUUGCUGAAGGAAAUUCUAUUGACGUCGUUCCUCUGCUAGAAGUGUUGACAUAGGUACUUCCAGCUUCUCAGCUGGAAGUACUGAUGUUGUUCCUUUGUUAGAGUCGUUUUCUUGCAGAUGUUAGAAGGAAUGGAGAAAGAGAAACACAAGAAGCACAUGGUGCAGAUGUACAACUACCCAAUCACAGAGAAUGAACUCUUGGUAAAUGAGAUAGUCCAUGAACAUUGUCAUGGUUCACCAACAAGCUCUACAUGGAUGAUGAAGCUGAGAACGAUUUUAAGGUGAAAAUUAAAGAGACAAUGGAGAAAGCCUUUUGGGAUGGUAUCUUGGAAUCUAUGAACCAGAAGCAGCCUGACUUCAGUUGGGUUCUUAAACUUACGGCAGAAAUUAGGGAUGGACUGUGCAAGAUGUCUCCCUGUAGCUGGCGACAUGAGAUUAUUGAUACGAUUAAUAUUGAUAUCCUUUCACAUGUAGUUUAAUUUUUCAAGCCUGUGGACACCAUGGUGCUUCAUAGACAUAUCAUUUAUCAUAGGAACAAUGCUAUCUAUUGUCAUAUAACUUACUAUUGUAUGUUUGUUGUUGAUCGUCCUUCGUUUUCUUAGGUUUUAAAAGUUGGAACUACUUGGGAAAUUUACUGGAGUAUGCAUUGACCACUCUGCAAAGCCUGUCAGCCCCAGGAAAUGAUGAUGAGAUAAAGGCUGCUCACCUAAGCAUGUUAAAAGAACUGAGUGAGGUCUCACAUUCUGGAGAUAAUACAAAAUCUUCAUAUGCCAUAGCAGUUAUCAAGGGUCUUAGUUUUGUCUUAAAUGAGAUUCAGGUACGAAGUACAUGCUGCUGAUAGAAAUAAUAUCCCUGUAUCCCAGAGUGAGCUACAUAAACUUCUUGAAAAUCCAUCGUUAACUGGGAUUCAUAUACUCGUUCUCGGCAACAAAAUUGACAAUCAGAAGUUAUUGCACAGCAAGCAUUGAUAUAUCAGAUGUAAGUUCAGUUAAAUUGCACUCCUGUUAUAAUCAUCACAUUAUAUUUUGCGCCUUUCCUUGAUUUGGUACUGUAUAACUAUCGUAUGCUUAGUUUUUUCUUGCUAUUUUUUUUAUGAUGGUACCGAUGGGCAAUCCCACCAAUUGGAAGUCCAUCCUUUGUGAAUACUCUCAGAUCCAUCAAGCUUGUAGUUAAUAAAUUAUAUUUUUGUUUA